rnacentral:rRNA from 1 species
UUUUCGACGGAGAGUUUGAUCCUGGCUCAGGACGAACGCUGGCGGCGUGCUUAACACAUGCAAGUCGAACGGUAAGGCCUCUUCGGGGGUACACGAGUGGCGAACGGGUGAGUAACACGUGAGUAACCUGCCCCAGUCUCUGGGAUAACUUCUGGAAACAGGUGCUAAUACCGGAUAUUCAGCUUUCCUCGCAUGGGGUUUGUUGGAAAGGUUUUCUGGUCUGGGAUGGACUCGCGGCCUAUCAGCUUGUUGGUGAGGUAGUGGCUCACCAAGGCUUCGACGGGUAGCCGGCCUGAGAGGGUGACCGGCCACAUUGGGACUGAGAUACGGCCCAAACUCCUACGGGAGGCAGCAGUGGGGAAUAUUGCACAAUGGGCGGAAGCCUGAUGCAGCAACGCCGCGUGCGGGAUGACGGCCUUCGGGUUGUAAACCGCUUUCAGUGGGGACGAAGUUUUUUGUGACGGUACCCACAGAAGAAGCACCGGCUAACUACGUGCCAGCAGCCGCGGUGAUACGUAGGGUGCGAGCGUUGUCCGGAUUUAUUGGGCGUAAAGAGCUUGUAGGCGGUUUGUCGCGUCGGGAGUGAAAACUCAGGGCUUAACUCUGAGCUUGCUUUCGAUACGGGCUGACUUGAGGAAGGUAGGGGAGAAUGGAAUUCCUGGUGAAGCGGUGGAAUGCGUAGAUAUCAGGAGGAACACCGGUGGCGAAGGCGGUUCUCUGGACCUUUCCUGACGCUGAGAAGCGAAAGCGUGGGGAGCAAACAGGCUUAGAUACCCUGGUAGUCCACGCUGUAAACGGUGGGUACUAGGUGUGGGGGACAUUCCACGUUCUCCGUGCCGUAGCUAACGCAUUAAGUACCCCGCCUGGGGAGUACGGCCGCAAGGCUA